UAAAGCCCCAUUACAUAUGGUCUUAUUGGCAUAUGGUCACAGCUUCGUGACCCUCCACCUCCUUGUUGCAACCCUAAUCCAUCAUCUGCUGCCAUACGUUCAACUUUCAGCGCUUAUCCAACUGUGAGAAAAUUUUGAUAAUAUCAAAUUUCCACAGUUCAUCAACCUCGAUUGAAGCUCGUCUUGGUUUGCCGUUUAUGCCAUCAUUCUCCAUUGAGGCACUCAAGCAGCUUUCUUUGCCCCUUCAAAUGUACUUUCUCUCUCCGAUGAGAAAGAAGAUAUAAAGAAGGCUAUAAGACCGUGGGAGAUGAAAGAUGAAGAGGUGGAAUUCUUUAGGGAAAAUUUGCUGGCACUCAAGCAGUACGAGCUGUCAAGGCAGAAACAAUUGAAGAACUCGAAAGUUGCAGGUUGAUGUUUUCUUUUCGGCAAUUUGGCUCCUUUUCACUUGUAUGUGUGUUUGUUGUUUUUACUUGUUCCACUCGAUUUCCAUUCCUUCAUGUGCCCUUCUUGUAUACACGCACUUCAGAAAACAAGCCAAUUAUUACUAACAAGCCAAUUAUUACUGUGUAUUCAUUAUGAGUGCUAUACUUUUAUAUAAAAUCUGAAUCAACUCAUAUCAGCAUGAAAUUUUCAAUUUCGUUGUUACCUAUAUGCUAUAUAAAAUCGGAGAAUUAAUAUUGUGUUGUGUUUUAUUUUCAUGUAGCUUCAGGUUCUUGUUAGACACUUAGACAUCUAUGUUGUUGGAGGGAUUUGAUGGUAAAUAACUUACUCUGUAGAUAAAGGGAUUUUCGGGUGGUUGGUGGCGUGUUGGGUAACAAAUCUAAACGGGUCUGGGUUAUCCGAGCAGUUCUUUGGUUCAGGACAAAAUUGUUUAGGUCGAGUUGACCCAAAACACUUAUUUUGUUGAAAAAUAUGGGUGUGAAAUGGUGAAAAUGUGUUUGAAAGUAUAGUUUCAGUCCAAUACUUUUUUAAGAAACAAACUUUUAAAUCAAGUUGGUAUUUUGUAUUAAAGGAAACAAUUUUUUUUUACUAAAAGUAGCUUUUUUAAAUGCAAUUAAUCAUUUGAUGAAGCUGCAAAUUAUAACUUUAUUUCAGCGACAUGGGGUGAGGUUACGGCUGGUGAGUUAAAUAUGUUGAGGGAGGGGUAGGAUUAUUGGUAUGAAGUUGCUGGUUAGUAUGAAUCUUUUAAGCAUGGGUUCCGUUUGGUUUGGUUUUAGUUUCCAGCAGUUUAGUUUCGGAAUAAACCAUAAACACCCUAGUGGGUAUAGUUAGUUGUAUUUUGUUGCAGGUUAGAUGUGCUAAUAGGUUGCUGAUUGGGGCUGCUAUGGGGAGAAUAGAGGCCAAGACGACUAGGAAGCUGAAGAGAAGAUUAAUGUCUUGUUUUUAUGAGUUUGGUUUAUUUUUUUAUUAUUGUUUCUUUGUUUGGUUUCUUUUAAGAGGUUAAUGGUUCUGGUUCUACCCCUCUUGUAAGGUAAAAGGAAUGUACCAUAUGGACCAAUGUUUUAUGAAUGGGUCGAUUUGGGUUAUUUUUUCUGUAACGGUUCAAAUGUAUUCUUUGUACUUUAUGAAUGUGUCGGUUUGGGUUAUUA